GAUGAACGUUGGCGGCGUGCCUAACACAUGCAAGUCGAACGCAAAUAGCAAUAUUUGAGUGGCGCACGGGUGAGUAACACGUAGCUUACCUCCCUCCAAGCGUGGGAUAACGUUCCGAAAGGAAUGCUAAUACCGCAUAAGCUCACGAGCUACAGAGGCUUGCGAGAAAAGGGGCAACUCACUUGGAGACGGGGCUGCGGCCCAUCAGCUAGUUGGCGAGGUAAAGGCUCACCAAGGCGACGACGGGUAGGGGGACCUGAGAGGGUGACCCCCCACACUGGGACUGGAGACACGGCCCAGACUCCUACGGGAGGCAG
rnacentral:rRNA from 1 species